UGGCUUAUUCCGAUAAGGAUUGACUAGCGCACGCGUCGCACUUAGUCACGGCAGCGAGGAGUACACCUAGCCGCGCUCGGGCGGGGUAUACCGGGGUGGGCUUAUAUCGCUAAAGUCAAAAGAGCCGACGUACGGCUUGCUUAUGUCAGGGUAGCAUAGACCGCUGGAUGAUGGAUGCGUGCGUGGAUCGCGCAUGAGCGGAUACCCCGCUACACGAGUAUGGGACACUGGGUCGACGGUGUAGGUGGGCUUGCUCUGUGUUAAGCUUUACACUUAGGGGAGGACGUCUGCGUCGGAGCAACGGCCCUUAGUCUAGCUGGGAGGUACGUGUAUCGCGAGCCUAGAUGUCUAAAGAAGAACUAAACUGGUUACCUAGAACCACGUCUCAAUAAGUGUACCUAGAGGUCAAGUCGAAGACUAGGGUCGGCAAGUGAGGGCUCCCGAAGGGUCUAGACCCUAACGAUCUCUUCCUCCUCCUACUAUACGAUCUCCUCCUCCUGCUGCUGUUCACGUAAGGAGGUUUAGAGGUCUCCAUAAGUGGAAGGAGUUCGGUUCUACAACUCUUUGUACCACAAUGGCUAAGACCUAGAGUUCAAGGACUCCGGUGCGUUCUAAAAAGGAUGUAGGGUCUAUAACUGUUGUAGCUGUCGGUGUUUCUCGGGAGUAGAUUAGCGUUGCGUGAGGUCUAGGCACCGGAUUUUCCAUCAUGAUAGAUGAAGCGUGAAGACCAACAGGAGCAGUUAAGUAAGGUAAGAAAGAUGGGAGCAACUCAACGCGGUGUAAGUCACUUGAUCCGCAAAAAAAGUCAAUUCAACAACCGAACUGGUACUAGA
rnacentral:rRNA from 1 species